UGAAGUGGCUCAUUGCCACACAAUUCCAGGCAUUCAUGUCCCUUCGCCCACUGCUUCACUUCCCACUCUCUGCCCUGUACCCUCUUUGUGUGCCUGCCUCGCUCCUGGUGCUCUGUGCUACGAGUGCCCCUUAAUUGGCUUAGCCGCUCAAGGGGCUGGACAGUCCUUGGAAGCUGCUAGACUUCGGGCAGGAGAGGAGACGGGAGGGAAUGGCUUCUCCGUGACGGAGCGCGAGCGAAUGUGACGUGCACGACUUGCAUGUCAAUGCAGCAUUGGACUUGGCUCAUCUGCAUGGAAGAAAUUCCACAUUCCUAUGACGGGAACUGGUCGUGUCACAAGACGACAACCGUUUACUUUGCACCAACUGGCCUCCUUGAAGUGCAACUGCAUCUGGAGACGCCGUGCAAAGAGCUGGGAAUUCAAGGGAAGAAGAAGAAGACUUUUGUGCAAUGAGCUUUGAUGUCAGUGACAUGAUGAUGAUGAUGAUUGUGAUGCAGGGCUGAGAGGGAAAUGGUGAACGUGUGGAGGAGGACUCUUGAUACAGAGAGCCAGACCGAGACAGAAGUGAAGAGGAAAUGUACUGGCUUGCUUACUUACUAUGAAUUCCUAUUAUUUUAUUGUAACCGUUUUAAUUAACUUCCAUUUUCAUUGAAAAUUAUUCCCAAAGCUUUGGGUUAAUGUGAGGACAGGCAAAUUUGGAUGGGCCGUGGCGAUCUAGGAAGCUACUCUACCAUACAAGGCUGCUUGCUGACGGUGUGCGUGAUUGUGUUUUUUUUAUUUCAUGAUCACUUCCGAGAAUUACAUAUUUCACGUAAGAUAUAAAUUCACGUGUCAGUAUGUCAUACCGCACAAUUUGAAGCUGUAAAUUCAAAAUCCUGGUUCUGGGUCAACUCGGUCAUUUAUCCCUCAUGGGUUUGAUAAAAUUAGUACUAUUUUUUGUAAGUCAACAGUGGCCGCCCCUUUGAAGAGAAUGGCCUUCGCCAUAGUAAUGUAGAAUUUCCACUACUGGAUCUGGGCCUCCGCAGGAAAAACACCACCGCCCACUCAUUUGAUCUGGGAUACCAUUUGACUUUGACCUGUAGAGUCGACUACUGCUCAUCAUCAUCAUCAUUUAUAUCACACCUUUCACAAAAGUGGCACAAUGCAAACACGAUGAUUAAUGAUCGCAUGGCUCAGAACUGGCUUUCUGGAAAUGUUCUAUAGCUUGGGAAAGAAAAGUACUACAGUAAAGCGCUUUGAUGCAGGUGCCAGUCAGGGAAAUUCGAACGCGUCCACACUGGCGAUGAGGUUUUUGAAAGGAGGCUACGUUGGUUAGCGCGAGGUAUGCGCGGCGUGUGCACGGCGGGAUUUGAGCAUCUUAGGAACGCCGCGCUUGUCCCGUGGCAGCGAGGUGAGUGUGAGUGUUGGCAGCAGAGAUCAGCCUUCUCAACACUUCAGGUGUAUCGGGCAGCUGUGGCCUCCUGCGUAAGGAACACCACUGCACGACGCACACCUCCUCCAAGCACCACCGCGGUCACUCCCGCAAUCGCGCACGCGUGCGUGUGUGCGUGCGACGCGCCCUUCUUGCGAAGCAUUUGGCGAGUUAAGGAUCUGCGAGUGUCAUUGUAGCUCUGUAAGAAAAUACACCGAAACAGUGCUCGUAAAUUUUAUUUUUUUUAGUUUUUUUUUUACCGUACAGAUUCAUUUGGACGAAUAAUAAUGGGGGGGUGAUACAAAUGAAGUUAAUUUGCUCACAAUCUCGCUUGUCCAGUGGUGGAGAGUAACUCAUUAGGAGCAAUGUAUUACUUUCGGAAUACCAAGAAUUAUUACUUAAUUUUCAGGUUGAAUUGAGAAUACUGUUACUUAGCAUUGGCCAGUUGAUUUAUUUGCAUGAAGAUUUUCAUACUUUAAAAAAAGCCAUAAUUACUAAGAAAAAAACAAGUGUAUAUAAGGAAAGUAUUAUUUCAACAGCAAAGGGACAGAUGCAGCAGCUGGUCCACACAUAUCCUCAACAAUCGUAGCAAAGUGCCCCUGGUUACGAGGCUAAAUCGGCCGAGUGUAAAGUACUUGUAAACAUUAUCAAGUAAACAAAUUGCGCUACGUUGCAAAUAGCAGGCAUGGAAUUGUUCUUGCUGAACCAAGUAAAAGUAACCCGACCGACGGACAUCGUGAAAUGCACACGUGACAUUCACGAUGCAAUUUGUUUUGCAUGUUCCAACUUUGCAUCAUGCGUGUAAUUGAAAUGUUUCUUACUGUAUUAUUUGACGGGGGGUUUUGACAGAGCUCCCCAUUUAAUGUCUUGUACCAGAGCCCAUGCCAAUGAUGCCACUCCAAUCAUAAUGGUCGACUCACAAUAACAUGAAAUAAAACCCUCCCUAAUCAUCACUCAAUGUUGAUUUUAAGCUUUCGUGACUGCAAUAAUUGCUCUUCGUUUCUUUCGG